rnacentral:lncRNA from 1 species
CGGGCAGGGAGGGCCCGCCAGGACUCGCAGCUCGCUGGGCAGACUCAGACUUGCUGCCGCCCUACCUUUCUGCUGGCUCUGGGACACGCCAGGCCAGCAAUGGCCAAGCAACAGCCAAAAGAAUCUGGGCCUGCCCCCUGGUGACUUCUCAUCAGCAACUUGUCACAGCAUCAGUCCCCUGACUGUGUCCCUGGCUCUGUGCUGGAAACUGGGGAGACGACGCUUGCCCAAGGCUGCAAUGCAGGACCAGGACCGAAACCUGCCGACCCCCCACCCAGUGCUCUUUCUCUGGGAAAAGGAACCACAGAACAAACCUUGGGAGGGGCCAGCACAGGAAACAGGCACACAGUCACGGCCAGGCACCCCGCCUUAGGCCUACUACCCCCAGCCCUCGAGAGAGGAACCUCCUGCAGCACCUCAGGGGGACCGGCCACCUGUCAGGGCUCUGACCCCUGGGAAGUUGGAACUUGGAGCCUCAGGUCGGUCCCGAAGCCCGGUCUAUGCUGUCAUCUUGUGGCCACUUCGGGAAGUGCGCCUGUCCGGCUCUAAAUUGGAAAUAACACGGAUUGAGCAAAACUGAACAUUAUUCUGGGAACUCAUGGGAUGUAGAAGGGAACAUAGCCCAGCCGGUGCCCUGAAGAAGCCCACAGUGUGGCAGAGGAGCCUCCAAAUGGCAUGUCCACAACUGAACUCAGCGCCGGAUACCCACCAGAACAGGUCAUGGAAAAGUUUCCAAAAGAUGGUCUCUCCCAUGCUUUAGAGGAGGCGUCUGGAGAGGCAGCGGGCAGCAGGUAGGAUUUGACGGGAGGGAGUGUGCAGGAGGCACUCCAGGGAGAGGCACCGGCCUGAGCAAAGUCACGGAGACAGGGAAACAGCAGUUCUAAGGAUUCCAGUUUGUCCCAAGCCUAGGUCGGAUAUGGAGAGGAGGAAAUGAUCAUUUGGGAGCCAAAUGGGCCAGUCUUUGGCUGGUGGCCUAGGGAGUUUGUACUAAGAAUUUUAGGCUGGGGAACCAACAAAGGUCCUAGGGCAAGGAUGAAGCUUGAGCAGGGGUCUCUUUAAGGAAAAAAAAAAAUACUAGCUGCAGGGGACAGGAGUGAACAGGGCAAAUGGAAGAAGUUUCAGGGCAACAGAGAGGGUGCUGGGAAAGGGGUAGGGAGGACUUCAGGGCUAAAGAGGGUACUACUGACAGCUAGACAAGCCAGGGCCAAGCAGGAGAGGUGAGGAAUUGGCUUGGAGUUGCUGUCAGGAAUUCCAGUGAAGCUACACCUGCCUGGUUCAGUCAGUAAAGCAUUCAAUGGUUGACUCAGGGUUGUGAGUUCAAGCCCCACAUUGGGUGUAGAGAUCACUUAAAAAUAAAAUCUCAAAAAAAAAAUGGAGUCCCA